rnacentral:rRNA from 1 species
AUUGAACGCUGGCGGCAGGCCUAACACAUGCAAGUCGAGCGGCAGCGGGAAAGUAGCUUGCUACUUUUGCCGGCGAGCGGCGGACGGGUGAGUAAUGCCUGGGAAACUGCCCAGUCGAGGGGGAUAACAGUUGGAAACGACUGCUAAUACCGCAUACGCCCUACGGGGGAAAGCAGGGGACCUUCGGGCCUUGCGCGAUUGGAUAUGCCCAGGUGGGAUUAGCUAGUUGGUGAGGUAAUGGCCCACCAAGGCGACGAUCCCUAGCUGGUCUGAGAGGCGGAUCAGCCAGACUGGAACUGAGACACGGUCCAGACUACUACGGGAGGCAGCAGUGGGGAAUAUUGCACAAUGGGGGAAACCCUGAUGCAGCCAUGCCGCGUGUGUGAAGAAGGCCUUCGGGUUGUAAAGCACUUUCAGCGAGGAGGAAAGGUUGUUGGCUAAUAUCCAACAGCUGUGACGUUACUCGCAGAAGAAGCACCGGCUAACUCCGUGCCAGCCGCCGCAGUAAAAC